CAGCCGCCGCGGUAAUACGUAGGGUGCAAGCGUUAAUCGGAAUUACUGGGCGUAAAGCGUGCGCAGGCGGUUAUAUAAGACAGAUGUGAAAUCCCCGGGCUCAACCUGGGGACUGCAUUUGUGACUGUAUAGCUAGAGUACGGCAGAGGGGGAUGGAAUUCCGCGUGUAGCAGUGAAAUGCGUAGAUAUGCGGAGGAACACCGAUGGCGAAGGCAAUCCCCUGGGCCUGUACUGACGCUCAUGCACGAAAGCGUGGGGAGCAAACAGGAUUAGAUACCCCCGUAGUCCCUGUCUCUUAUAC
rnacentral:rRNA from 1 species